rnacentral:rRNA from 1 species
UACGGGGGGGGGGCAAGCGUUGUUCGGAAUUACUGGGCGUAAAGGGCUCGUAGGCGGCCAACUAAGUCAGACGUGAAAUCCCCCAGGCUCAACCUGGGAACUGCGUCUGAUACUGGUUGGCUUGAAUCCGGGAGAGGGAUGCAGAAUUCCAGGUGUAGCGGUGAAAUGCGUAGAUAUCUGGAGGAAUACCGGUGGCGAAGGCGGCAUCCUGGACCGGCAUUGACGCUGAGGAGCGAAAGCCAGGGGGAGCAAACGGG